rnacentral:snRNA from 1 species
GUGCUUGCUUCGGCAGCACAUAUACUAGAAUUGGAAUGAUACAGAGAAGAUUAACAUGGCCCUGUACAAGGAUGACACACAAAUUAGUGAAACAUUCCAGAUUUUU